AGAGUUUGAUCAUGGCUCAGCGCGAACGCUGGCGGCACGCUUUAUACAUGCAAGUCGAGCGGUAACAGAGGAGCUUGCUCCUGCUGACGAGCGGCGAACGGGUGAGUAAUGCAUAGAUAACCUACCGAUAAGUCUGGGAUAGCCUUGCUAACGCGGGGGUAAUACCGGAUGUGAAUAUAUUUAGGCAUCUAAAUAUAUUUAAAGAUUUUAUCGCUUAUUGAUGGGUCUAUGUGACAUCAGCUAGUUGGUGAGGUAAAUGCUCACCAAGGCUACGACGUCUAGCCGACCUGAGAGGGUGAUCGGCCACAUCGGGACUGAGAUACGGCCCGGACUCCUACGGGAGGCAGCAGUAGGGAAUAUUGCACAAUGGGGGAAACCCUGAUGCAGCAACGCCGCGUGGAGGAUGACGCAUUUCGGUGUGUAAACUCCUUUUCUGAAGGAAGAAUUCUGACGGUACUUCAGGAAUAAGCACCGGCUAACUCCGUGCCAGCAGCCGCGGUAAUACGGAGGGUGCAAGCGUUACUCGGAAUCACUGGGCGUAAAGCGCGCGCAGGCGGCUUUGUAAGUUGGAUGUGAAAGCCUACGGCUCAACCGUAGAACUGCAUCCAAAACUACUUAGCUAGAGUCUGGGAGGGGAAGAUGGAAUUAGUUGUGUAGGGGUAAAAUCCGUAGAGAUAACUAGGAAUACCAAAAGCGAAGGCGAUCUUCUGGAACAGUACUGACGCUGAGGCGCGAAAGCGUGGGGAGCAAACAGGAUUAGAUA
rnacentral:rRNA from 1 species